AUUGAACGCUGGCGGCAGGCCUAACACAUGCAAGUCGAGCGGAGCGGCGGACGGGUGGGUAAUGCCUAGGAAUAUGCCUGGUAGUGGGGGAUAACGUCAGGAAACGGGAGCUAAUACAGCAUACUAUCAGAUGAGACUAGGUCGGAUUAGCUAGUUGGUGGGGUAAAGGCCUACCAAGGCGACGAUCCGUAACUGGUCUGAGAGGAUGAUCAGCCACACUGGAACUGAGACACGGUCCAGACUCCUACGGGAGGCAGCAGUGGGGAAUAUUGGACAAUGGGCGAAAGCCUGAUCCAGCAAUGCCGCGUGUGUGAAGAAGGUCUUCGGAUUGUAAAGCACUUUAAGUAGGGAAGCGUUACCAACAGAAUAAGCCCCGGCUAACUACGUGCCAGCAGCCGCGGUAAUUC
rnacentral:rRNA from 1 species